rnacentral:lncRNA from 1 species
CUCUUUCAGCUCCAGCCUGCCUCCCAGGUGUACCAGGUUCAAGUAGGCUGCAGGCCAGCAUGAAACAGAUUGGCGUCUGAGCCAGGGACAUUGGGAAUGGUGGGAAAACACCGAGGGAAUCACUGUCUUGUAUGGAGCUCCAAGGGAAGGAAAGAAUCAGAGGAUCCUAUUGGACACGGAAGUGCUGAGAAAAUCCCUUGGCAGGAAGUGGAACCUAUUAUCAAUAUCUACAUAAGGAGUCUCUGGCCAUAUGUGAGAUGCCAUGCUUCCUCCAUAUGGUGAGUACCUUGCCCUACACCUGCCAUGGACUAAACAUGGAUGUUCUCCCUGAGGGUAAAUACCCAUCCUGUAAAAUCUUAUCCACAUACAACCUUCAACUGGAAAUCCAGAGCUCCCAGAAAGCUAAAAAUCUCCUAGCAUUUGAGUUCAUCAAAUGCACAAUGUGAACAUGCACAAGAAAAUGAUGUCUCCUGGGUUUUCCUAUAUGUGCAUUUCAGCUGCUGGACUCAGUUUAAAAAACUGCUUGACUUGAUGCAGACUCCCACAGCCAAACACUGGGCACAGAAAGAGCCGCACUUGAAGAUCUCAAUUGGAUUCCUCCCUUUGGAGCUCAGAGAUGACAAGCUAAGAAGGAGAGACAGGAUUUUAGGAGCCAGAGGAGUCAAGGACACUAAGAAAACCCACCCACAGAAUUAACUAAGCAGGGCUCACAGGGGCUCACACAGAUCAAAAUGACAAUCAGGAUGUCUGUAUGGGUCAGGGCUUGGUCCUCUGAAAAUGUAGAUAUCAACUUGGUGUUCUUGUGAGAGCCCUCAAACUGGGAGUGAAGGUGUCUCAGACUCUUUCCCUUGAGCUUGGGACUGCUUCCCUCCUACUGUGUUGUCUCUUCCAGCUGUGAGAAGGUUUGUUCCUGUUCAUAUGAAUCUUGUUGUGCCAUGUUCAGUUGAUAUCCCUGGGUGACCUGCUAUAUUCUCAGCCAGUACAGAGGAGUAGACAUAGGAGAGGGAGGAGGAUGACCUGGGAGGAGGUGAUUGAGGAAUAAACAAGGUCCUGAUGUAUUCUUUGGAAGGAGAAGAGAGAAAUAAAUAGAAAAAAAUGAUCACUAA